rnacentral:rRNA from 1 species
UACGAAGGGGGCUAGCGUUGCUCGGAUUGACUGGGCGUAAAGGGCGCGUAGGCGGUUUGCACAGUCAGACGUGAAAUUCCUGGGCUCAACCUGGGGGCUGCGUUUGAUACGUGCAGGCUUGAGUUCGGAAGAGGGUCGUGGAAUUCCCAGUGUAGAGGUGAAAUUCGUAGAUAUUGGGAAGAACACCGGUGGCGAAGGCGGCGACCUGGUCCGAUACUGACGCUGAGGCGCGAAAGCGUGGGGAGCAAACAGG